rnacentral:rRNA from 1 species
UUGGAGGGCAAGUCUGGUGCCCGCAUUCGCGGUAAUUCCAGCUCCAAUAGCGUAUAUUAAAGUUGUUGCAGUUAAAAAGCUCGAAGUUGAACUUCAGGCCUGGUUGGGCGGUCCGCUUAACGGCGGGUACUGUCCGACUGGGUCUUACCUCUUGGGGAACCGGCGUGCCCUUUAUUGGGGGCGUCGGGAAACCAGAACUUUUACCUUGAGAAAAUUACAGGGUUCAAAGCAGGCCUAUGCCUGAAUACAUCAGCAUGGAAUAAUAAAAUAGGACGGGCGGUUCUAUUUGGUUGGUUUCUAAAGUCCCCGAAAUGAUUAAUAGGGAUAGUUGGGGGCAUUGGUAUUGAGUCCCUAGAGGUGAAAUUCUUGGAUUGACUCAAGACCGACUAUUGCGAAAGCUUUUGCCAAGGAUGUUUUCAUUAAUCAAAAACAAAAGUUAGGGGAUCGAAGACGAUCAAAUACCGUCUUAGCCUUAACCAUAAACUAUGCCAACAAGGGACCGGACGACGCUCAAUAAAUGACUCGUUCGGGGCCUUCCGGGAAAC